AUUGAAGGGUAUUUGUUAUUUUCGGCAUCAAUUUACAAUGAAAUGUUUUCUAUAAUUCCAUUGAUUUUUUAUUAGCAAUACUUUUAAUGUGUACGCAUAAAUGUAUGUAUAUAUAUUUUUGUAAUGGAACGAAAUCUAUUAGUUGUUUAUUUUUAAUUAGAUAUAUGAUUCUACUUCUCGUUAAUAAACUUUACAUUAUUAUAUUGGAAGAUACAUUGGAAGAUAUUGAAAUAAACUCUAAUACAAUCUUUUAUUCGUUUGUCGUUAAAGUUACGAGUUUUGAUAAAUGAUUUCGAUACUUCGGUUAAUAGUUAAAAUGCGUUUCAACUGGCCGUAGAUAACAAAGCUCUUCACAAAUGUAUCAACGUAAGAUGUAAUACCAGUGAUUAAGAAAUUCACUAAUUAGAGUCGACUAUUGUCGUUUUUCGAUGCAAAAUGUAAGUUGUAAUUGCAUUGAUACGUACAUGAAUACGUAUAUGAUAAUGUUUUUUUAUAAACCCUGAGUUACUCAUUUCUGAUACAGAUUCAGAUAUAUACAGAUAUAUAUAUAUGUAUUAUAUAUUAUAUAUAAUAUGUAUAUAUAUAUACAGAGAGAGAGAGAAAGAAAGAGUAAACGAAUCGAGAAUUUGAAUGAAACAAAGAACGAUAUCGAGAUUAAAUUGAAAAGAAACUUUGUUAGCUCUUGACAAAAAGGCAUUCGAUAAGGAAGCAUUAGCCGUCCAAAGUACAAUUAUAUCAAAGACCUAUUCAAAUGAAAGGCGAUUACAUAGGUAUCCUAUUAUGAUACCUUAUACUUCUUAUUAUUCAUAUAAAAGAAAAGAAGAAGAAAAAAAACAGUUAAGAAGAUUAAGAAAGAAAUUUCAUGUUUAUUUCCCAAUAUCUUCAAUUAUGAUUGAUUUAUAAAGACAAUAAGAAUAAUAAUAACAAUAAUAAUAACAACAAUAAUAUGAAAAAGAAGAAGAAGAACAAAGUAUCUUGGUAUAUUCAAUUUUGCUUUCUUGUUCUUAUGUGGUAUAUGUAGCUAGUACAAUGUAAAUUUUAAUGUGGGAUUUCUAUUAAACGUCAUUUAAUGCGUAUUAUGAUUAAUAUGCAUUAUUCAUACACAUAUGAAUGUAUAUAUAUUUAAAUGAAUGUCGAAUUUAUACCUCGUUGACAAAUUAAAUUUACAAUAUUGAAAUAAGGGUGUCACGAUCAGGUACACGUAUCACGUUCGAUCCUCGACGAUCUUUCUAUAUAUAAAAUAUAUCGAUACCAAACGAUAUUACAUUCGUUAAAAUGCAUAUACGUAUUACGUACGUACGCGUACACGUGCAUACAGAAAAAUUAAGAAAAAAAUAGCAAAAUAGAGCGAGGAAGAGACAGAGAGAGAGAGAUAGAUGAAAGUUCAUUGUUUUCGAGGAAGGACGUCUGUCCUAACGAACGAAGUUUACGAUGAGGUCUCGUAUUUUUCUAUUCCUGUUGCUAUCUUUUCUUUUUUUGAUUUUGAUUAAUUAACUAAUUAAAUUAUAAAAAUUUAAAUAUAUAUAUAUAUAUAUAUAUAUAAUAUUAUUACCCUGAAAGAAAAAGAGAAUGUUUAUAGCAUUUACUAGCGGACGUAUACAAAGCAAAUCUUAUUACAAUGUUUAUAUGUUUCUAUAUAAGCUGAAGUAUCUAAAUACACCUUAUCUUAUUUAAUUUUGGUCGAAUAUCGUAUGAGAUCAGUCUUUCGGCAACCACUGAGUUGGAAACUUGAAAGAUCCCGUAUGAACAUACGUUUGUAAAUAGAUAGAUACGUAUAUAUGUACAUAUGUACAUAACUAGACACAAUAUACACACCCUCACACUCAUACACAAAGUAUAUAGUAGCCUUUCUCUUUGGUAUUGCUUGAGAUUUUAUUAUAUUGUAUAGACAGUAACGAGCAACCUUUGUUCUGCAAUGAGCCAAAAUUAAAUAUCUGAUAUUGUUAUUGAUAGAAUUCAUUAUGAACUAAAAAUGCUUAUAUUGAUUAAAAAAGGAAUUAAUGCUUGAUAGAAAAAGAAAAAAUUACACAUUAUUGAAGGGUAUUUGUUAUUUUCGGCAUCAAUUUACAAUGAAAUGUUUUCUAUAAUUCCAUUGAUUUUUUAUUAGCAAUACUUUUAAUGUGUACGCAUAAAUGUAUGUAUAUAUAUUUUUGUAAUGGAACGAAAUCUAUUAGUUGUUUAUUUUUAAUUAGAUAUAUGAUUCUACUUCUCGUUAAUAAACUUUACAUUAUUAUAUUGGAAGAUACAUUGGAAGAUAUUGAAAUAAACUCUAAUACAAUCUUUUAUUCGUUUGUCGUUAAAGUUACGAGUUUUGAUAAAUGAUUUCGAUACUUCGGUUAAUAGUUAAAAUGCGUUUCAACUGGCCGUAGAUAACAAAGCUCUUCACAAAUGUAUCAACGUAAGAUGUAAUACCAGUGAUUAAGAAAUUCACUAAUUAUAGUCGACUAUUGUCAUUCUUCGAUGCAAAAUGUAAGUUGUAAUUGCAUUGAUACGUACAUGAAUACGUAUAUGAUAAUGUUUUUUUAUAAACCCUGAGUUACUCAUUUCUGAUACAGAUUGAGAUAUAUACAGAUAUAUAUAUAUAUAUUAUAUAUUAUAUAUUAUAUAUUAUGUAUAUAUAAAUACAGAGAGAGAGAGAGAGAGAGAGAAAGAGGAAGGGUAAACGAAUCGAGAAUUGAAUGAAACAAAGAACGAUAUCGAGAUUAAAUUGAAAAGAAACUUUGUUACCUCUUGACAAAAAGGCAUUCGAUAAGGAAGCAUUAGCCGUCCAAAGUACAAUUAUAUCAAAGACCUAUUCAAAUGAAAGACGAUUACAUAGGUAUCCUAUUAUGAUACCUUAUACUUCUUAUUAUUCAUAUAAAAGAAAAGAAGAAGAAAAAAAACAGUUAAGAAGAUUAAGAAAGAAAUUUCAUGUUUAUUUCCCAAUAUCUUCAAUUAUGAUUGAUUUAUAAAGACAAUAAGAAUAAUAAUAACAAUAAUAAUAACAACAAUAAUAUGAAAAAGAAGAAGAAGAACAAAGUAUCUUGGUAUAUUCAAUUUUGCUUUCUUGUUCUUAUGUGGUAUAUGUAGCUAGUACAAUGUAAAUUUUAAUGUGGGAUUUCUAUUAAACGUCAUUUAAUGCGUAUUAUGAUUAAUAUGCAUUAUUCAUACACAUAUGAAUGUAUAUAUAUUUAAAUGAAUGUCGAAUUUAUACCUCGUUGACAAAUUAAAUUUACAAUAUUGAAAUAAGGGUGUCACGAUCAGGUACACGUAUCACGUUCGAUCCUCGACGAUCUUUCUAUAUAUAAAAUAUAUCGAUACCAAACGAUAUUACAUUCGUUAAAAUGCAUAUACGUAUUACGUACGUACGCGUACACGUGCAUACAGAAAAAUUAAGAAAAAAAUAGCAAAAUAGAGCGAGGAAGAGACAGAGAGAGAGAGAUAGAUGAAAGUUCAUUGUUUUCGAGGAAGGACGUCUGUCCUAACGAACGAAGUUUACGAUGAGGUCUCGUAUUUUUCUAUUCCUGUUGCUUUCUUUUCUUUUUUUGAUUUUGAUUAAUUAACUAAUUAAAUUAUAAAAAUUUAAAUAUAUAUAUAUAUAUAUAAUAUUAUUACCCUGAAAGAAAAAGAGAAUGUUUAUAGCAUUUACUAGCGGACGUAUACAAAGCAAAUCUUAUUACAAUGUUUAUAUGUUUCUAUAUAAGCUGAAGUAUCUAAAUACACCUUAUCUUAUUUAAUUUUGGUCGAAUAUCGUAUGAGAUCAGUCUUUCGGCAACCACUGAGUUGGAAACUUGAAAGAUCCCGUAUGAACAUACGUUUGUAAAUAGAUAGAUAUGUAUAUAUGUACAUAUGUACAUAACUAGACACAAUAUACACACCUUCACACUCAUACACAAAGUAUAUAGUAGUCUUUCUCUUGGGUAUUGCUUGAGAUUUUAUUAUAUUGUAUAGACAGUAACGAGCAACCUUUGUUCUGCAAUGAGCCAAAAUUAAAUAUCUGAUAUUGUUAUUGAUAGAAUUCAUUAUGAACUAAAAAUGCUUAUAUUGAUUAAAAAAGGAAUUAAUGCUUGAUAGAAAAAGAAAAAAUUACACAUUAUUGAAGGGUAUUUGUUAUUUUCGGCAUCAAUUUACAAUGAAAUGUUUUCUAUAAUUCCAUUGAUUUUUUAUUAGCAAUACUUUUAAUGUGUACGCAUAAAUGUAUGUAUAUAUAUUUUUGUAAUGGAACGAAAUUUAUUAGUCGUUUAUUUUUAAUUAGAUAUAUGAUUCUACUUCUCGUUAAUAAACUUUACAUUAUUAUAUUGGAAGAUACAUUGGAAGAUAUUGAAAUAAACUCUAAUACAAUCUUUUAUUCGUUUGUCGUUAAAGUUACGACUUUUGAUAAAUGAUUUCGAUACUUCGGUUAAUUGUUAAAAUGCGUUUCAACUGGCCGUAGAUAACAAAGCUCUUCACAAAUGUAUCAACGUAAGAUGUAAUACCAGUGAUUAAGAAAUUCACUAAUUAGAGUCGACUAUUGUCGUUUUUCGAUGCAAAAUGUAAGUUGUAAUUGCAUUGAUACGUACAUGAAUACGUAUAUGAUAAUGUUUUUUUAUAAACCCUGAGUUACUCAUUUCUGAUACAGAUUCAGAUAUAUACAGAUAUAUAUAUGUAUUAUAUAUUAUAUAUAAUAUGUAUAUAUAUAUACAGAGAGAGAGAGAGAGAGAGAGAGAGAGGGAGAGAGAGAGAGAGAGAGAAAGAAAGGGUAAACGAAUCGAGAAUUUGAAUGAAACAAAGAACGAUAUCGAGAUUAAAUUGAAAAGAAACUUUGUUAGCUCUUGACAAAAAGGCAUUCGAUAAGGAAGCAUUCGCCGUCCAAAGUACAAUUAUAUCAAAGACCUAUUCAAAUGAAAGACGAUUACAUAGGUAUCCUAUUAUGAUACCUUAUACUUCUUAUUAUUCAUAUAAAAGAAAAGAAGAAGAAAAAAAACAGUUAAGAAGAUUAAGAAAGAAAUUUCAUGUUUAUUUCCCAAUAUCUUCAAUUAUGAUUGAUUUAUAAAGACAAUAAGAAUAAUAAUAACAAUAAUAAUAACAACAAUAAUAUGAAAAAGAAGAAGAAGAACAAAGUAUCUUGGUAUAUUCAAUUUUGCUUUCUUGUUCUUAUGUGGUAUAUGUAGCUAGUACAAUGUAAAUUUUAAUGUGGGAUUUCAAUUAAACGUCAUUUAAUGCGUAUUAUGAUUAAUAUGCAUUAUUCAUACACAUAUGAAUGUAUAUAUAUUUAAAUGAAUAUCGAAUUUAUACCUCGUUGACAAAUUAAAUUUACAAUAUUGAAAUAAGGGUGUCACGAUCAGGUACACGCAUCACGUUCGAUCGUCGACGAUCUUUCUAUAUAUAAAAUAUAUCGAUACCAAACGAUAUUACAUUUGUUAAAAGGCAUAUACGUAUUACGUACAUACGCGUACACGUGCAUACAGAAAAAUUAAGAAAAAAAUAGCAAAAUAGAGCGAGGAAGAGAGAGAAAGAGAGAGAUGAAAGUUCAUUGUUUACGAGGAAGGACAUCUGUCCUAACAAACGGAGUUUUCGAUGAGGUCUCGUAUUUUUCUAUUCCUGUUGCUUUCUUUUAUUUUUUGAUUUUGAUUAAUUAACUAAUUAAAUUAUAAAAAUUUUAAUAUAUAUAUAUAUAUAUAUAUAUAUAUAUAAUAUUAUUACCCUGUAAGAAAAAGAUAAUGUUUAUACCAUUUACUAGCUGACGUAUACAAAGCAAAUCUUAUUACAAUGUUUAUAUGUUUCUAUAUAAGCUGAAAUAUCUAAAUACAACUUAUGUUAUUUACUUUCUCUCGAAUAUCGUAUGUGAUCAGUCUUUCGGCAACCACCGAAGGUGGAAUGUUGGAAGAUCCCAUAUAAACAUACGUUUGUAAGUAGAUACAUAUGUACAUAACUAGAUACAGAAUAUACACACCCACGCACACAUACACAAAGUAUAUAGUAGGCUUUCCUUGGGUAUUGCUUGAGAUUUAUUAUAUUGUACAGACAGUAAAGAGCAACCUUUCUUCUGCAAUGAGCCAAAAUUAAAUAUCUGAUAUUGUUAUUGAUACAUUAUGAACUAAAAAUGUUUAAGUUGAUUAAAAAGAAAUUGUAUCGGUAUUGGUAGAAAAAGAAAAAAUUACACAUUAUUGAAGGGUAUUUGUUAUAUUCGGCAUCAAUUUACAAUGAAAUGUUUUCUAUAAUACCAUUGAUUUUUUAUUAGCAAUACUUUUAAUGUGUACGCAUAAAUGUAUGUAUAUAUAUUUUUGUAAUGGACCGAAAUCUAUUAGUUGUUUAUUUUUAAUUAGAUAUAUGAUUCUACUUCUCGAUAAUAAACUUUUCAUUAUUAUAUUGGAAGACACAAUGGAAGAUAUCGAAUUAAACUCUAAUACAAUCUUUUAUUCGUUUGUCGUUAACGUUAAGAAUUUUGAUAAAAGAUUUCAAUUCUUCGGUUAAUAGUUAAAAUGCCUUUCAAAUGGCCGUAGAUAACAACGCUCUUCACAAAUGUAUCAACGUAAGAUGUAAUACCACUGAUUAAGAAAUUCACUAAUUAUAGUCGACUAUUGUCAUUUUUCGAUGCAAGGUGUAAGUCGUAUUUGCAUUGAUACGCAGAUGAAUACGUAUAUGAUAAUGUUUUUUUAUAAACCCUGAGUUACGCAUUUCUGAUACAGAUUGAGAUAUAUACAGAUAUAUAUAUAUAUAUAUAUAUAUAUAUAUAUAUAUAUAUAUAUUAUAUAUUAUAUAUUAUGUAUAUAUAAAUACAGAGAGAGAGAGAGAGAGAGAGAAAGAGGAAGGGUAAACAAAUCGAGAAUUUUGAAUAAAACAUAGAACGAUAUCGAGAUUAAAUUGAAAGGAAACUUUGUUAGCUUCUUGACAAAAAGGCACUCUAUAAGGGAAACAUCAUCCAUCCAAAGUACAAUUAUAUCAAAAACCCAUUCAAAUUAAAGACGAUUACAUAUGUAUCCGAUUAUGAUACCAUAUAUUUCUUAUUAUUCCUAUAAAAGAAAAGAAAAAGAAAAAAAAACAGUUAAGAAAAAUAAGAAAGAAAUCUCAUCUUUAUUUCCCAAUAUCUUCAAUUAUGAUUGCUUUAUAAAGACAAUAAGAAUAAUAAUAACAAUAAUAAUAACAACAAAAAUAUGAAGAAGAAGAAGAAGAAGAAGAAGAAGAAUAAAGUAUCUUGGUAUAUUCAAUUUUGCUUUCUUGUUCUUAUGUAGUAUAUGUAUCUAGUACAAUGUAAAUUUUAAUGUGGGAUUUCAUUUAAACGUGUCAUUUAAUGCGUAUUAUGAUUAAUAUGCAUUAUUCAUACACAUAUCAAUGUAUGUGUAUUUAAAUGAAUAUAGAAUUUAUACCUCGUUGACAAAUUAAAUUUACAAUAUUGAAAUAAGGGUGUCACGAUCAGGUACACGCAUCACGUUCGAUCGUCGACGAUCUUUCUAUAUAUAAAAUAUAUCGAUACCAAACGAUAUUACAUUUGUUGAAAGGCAUAUACGUAUUACGUACAUACGCGUACACGUGCAUACAGAAAAAUUAAGAAAAAAAUAGCAAAAUAGAGCGAGGAAGAGAGAGAGAGAGAGAGAGAUGAAAGUUCAUUGUUUACGAGGAAGGACGUCUGUCCUAACAAACGGAGUUUUCGAUGAGGUCUCGUAUUUUUGUAUUCCUGUUGCUUUCUUUUAUUUUUUGAUUUUGAUUAAUUAACUAAUUAAAUUAUAAAAAUUUUAAUAUAUAUAUAUAUAUAUAUAUAUAUAUAUAUAUAUAUAUAUAUAAUAUUAUUACACUGAAAGAAAAAGAGAAUGUUUAUACCAUUUACUAGCUGACGUAUACAAAGCAAAUCUUAUUACAAUGUUUAUAUGUUUCUCUAUAAGCUAAAAUAUCUAAAUCCACCUUAUGUUAUUUACUUUCUGUCGAAUAUCGUAUGAGAUCAGUCUUUCGGCAACCACCAAGGUGGAAUGUUGGAAGAUCCCAUAUAAACAUACGUUUGUAAAUAGAUACAUAUGUACAUAACUAGAUACAUAAUAUACACACCCACGCACACAUACACAAAGUAUACAGUAGUCUUUCUCUUCGGUAUUGCUUGAGAUUUUCUUAUAUUGUAUGGACAGUAACGAGCAACCUUUGUUCUGCAAUGAGCCAAAAUUAAAUAUCUGAUAUUGUUAUUGAUACAUUAUGAACUAAAAAUGUUUAAAUUGAUUAAAAAGAUAUUAAUACUUGAUAGAAAAAGAAAAAAUUACACAUUAUUGAAGGGUAUUUGUUAUUUUCGGCAUCAAAUUACAAUGAAAUGUUUUCUAUAAUCCUAUUGAUUUUUUAUUAGCAAUACUUUUAAUGUGUACGCAUAAAUGUAUGUAUAUAUAUCUUUGUAAUGGAACGAAAUCUAUUAGUUGUUUAUUUUUAAUUAGAUAUAUGAUUCUACUUCUCGUUAAUAAACUUUACAUUAUUAUAUUGGAAGAUACAAUGGAAGAUAUCGAAUUAAACUCUAAUACAAUCUUUUAUUCGUUUGUCGUUAACGUUAAGACUUUUGAUAAAAGAUUUCAAUACCUCGGUUAAUAGUUAAAGUGCCUUUCAACUGGCUGUAGAUAACAAAGCUCUUCACAAAUGUAUCAACGUAAGAUGUAAUACCACUGAUUAAGAAAUUCACUAAUUAUAGUCGACUAUUGUCAUUUUUCGAUGCAAGAUGUAAGUCGUAUUUGCAUUGAUACGCAGAUGAAUACGUAUAUGAUAAUGUUUUUUUAUAAACCCUGAGUUUAUUUCUGAUACAGAUUGAGAUAUAUACAGAUAUAUAUAUAUAUAUAUAUAUAUAUAUAUAUAUAUAUAUAUAUAUUAUAUAUAAUAUGUAUAUAUAUAUACAGAGAGAGAAAGAGAGAGAGAGAGAGAGGGAGAAAGAAAGGGUAAACGAAUCGAGAAUUUGAAUAAAACAAAGAACGAUAUCGAGAUUAAAUUGAAAAGAAACUUUGUUAGCUCUUGACAAAAAGGCAUUCGAUAAGGAAGCAUUAGGCGUCCAAAGUACAAUUAUAUCAAAAACCCAUUCAAAUUAAAGAAGAUUACAUAUGUAUCUGAUUAUGAUACCUCAUAUUUCUUAUUAUUCAUAUAAAAGAAAAGAAAAAGAAAAAAAAAAACAGUUAAGAAGAAUAAGAAAGAAAUCUCAUCUUUAUUUCCCAAUAUCUUCAAUUAUGAUAGAUUUCUAAAUACAAUAAGGAUAAUAAUAACAAUAAUAACAACAACAAUAAUAUGCAGAAGAAGAAGAAGAAGAAGAAUAAAGUAUCUUGGUAUAUUCAAUUUUGCUUUCUUGUUCUUAUGUAGUAUAUGUAUCUAGUACAAUGUAAAUUUUAAUGUGGGAUUUCAUUUAAACGUGUCAUUUAAUGCGUAUUAUGAUUAAUAUGCAUUAUUCAUACACAUAUCAAGGUAUGUGUAUUUAAAUGAAUAUAGAAUUUAUACCUCGUUGACAAAUUAAAUUUACAAUAUUGAAAUAAGGGUGUCACGAUCAGGUACACGCAUCACGUUCGAUCGUCGACGAUCUUUCUAUAUAUAAAAUAUAUCGAUACCAAACGAUAUUACAUUUGUUGAAAGUCAUAUACGUAUUACGUACAUACGCGUACACGUGCAUACAGAAAAAUUAAGAAAAAAAUAGCAAAAUAGAGCGAGGAAGAGAGAGAGAGAGAGAGAGAUGAAAGUUCAUUGUUUACGAGGAAGGACGUCUGUCCUAACAAACGGAGUUUUCGAUGAGGUCUCGUAUUUUUGUAUUCAUGUUGCUUUCUUUUAUUUUUUGAUUUUGAUUAAUUAACUAAUUAAAUUAUAAAAAUUUUAAUAUAUAUAUAUAUAUAUAUAUAUAUAUAUAUAUAUAUAUAAUAUUAUUACACUGAAAGAAAAAGAGAAUGUUUAUACCAUUUACUAGCUGACGUAUACAAAGCAAAUCUUAUUACAAUGUUUAUAUGUUUCUAUAUAAGCUGAAAUAUCUAAAUACAACUUAUGUUAUUUACUUUCUGUCGAAUAUCGUAUGAGAUCAGUCUUUCGGCAACCACCGAGGUGGAAUGUUGGAAGAUCCCAUACAAACAUACAUUUGUAAAUAGAUACAUAUGUGUAUAUGUACAUAUGUACGUAACUAGAUACAUAAUAUACACACCCACACACACAUACACAAAGUAUACAGUAGUCUUUCUCUUGGGUAUUGCUUGAGAUUUUCUUAUAUUGUAUGGACAGUAACGAGCAACCUUUGUUCUGCAAUGAGCCAAAAUUAAAUAUCUGAUAUUGUUAUUGAUACAUUAUGAACUAAAAAUGUUUAAAUUGAUUAAAAAGAAAUUAAUACUUGAUAGAAAAAGAAAAAAUUACACAUUAUUGAAGGGUAUUUGUUAUUUUCGGCAUCAAUUUACAAUGAAAUGUUUUCUAUAAUCCUAUUGAUUUUUUAUUAGCAAUACUUUUAAUGUGUACGCAUAAAUGUAUGUAUAUAUAUCUUUGUAAUGGAACGAAAUCUAUUAGUUGUUUAUUUUUAAUUAGAUAUAUGAUUCUACUUCUCGUUAAUAAACUUUACAUUAUUAUAUUGGAAGAUACAAUGGAAGAUAUCGAAUUAAACUCUAAUACAAUCUUUUAUUCGUUUGUCGUUAACGUUAAGACUUUUGAUAAAAGAUUUCAAUACUUCGGUUAAUAGUUAAAAUGCCUUUCAACUGGACGUAGAUAACAAAGCUCUUCACAAAUGUAUCAACGUAAGAUGUAAUACCACUGAUUAAGAAAUUCACUAAUUAUAGUCGACUAUUGUCAUUUUUCGAUGCAAGAUGUAAGUCGUAUUUGCAUUGAUACGCAGAUGAAUACGUAUAUGAUAAUGUUUUUUUAUAAACCCUGAGUUUAUUUCUGAUACAGAUUGAGAUAUAUACAGAUAUAUAUAUAUAUAU